rnacentral:tRNA from 1 species
GCCGGAGUAGCUCAGGGGCAGAGCGCAUCCUUGGUAAGGAUGAGGUCAUGAGUUCAAUUCUCAUCUUCGGCU